rnacentral:lncRNA from 1 species
UGACAACAUCUUAAAUUUGAUGAAUUCUAACAAAUAGGUCAAAAAGAAAAAGAAACAAAUGAAACAAACAAAACAAAACAUACAAAAAGCAAAACCAAACAAACUGAAAAAACAGUAACUGUUGCCUCUGCACAUGCCACAGGUUAAACUAAUUUGCUUUGGCUUUGCAUUUUUUUGAUUGCCAACAGGUGCAGAUGAAACUUCUUGUUAUGUGACAUACAGGCUUUAGAAAGUCCAGUGUCAGAAAGGCACAUGUGAAAAAAGAUAAAUAACUGAACUGAGGUUCAAAUAUGCUUUAUUCUCAUGUGCAAAUUAAAAUGGUUGUACAGAAAACUAGGAAGGCUGUGGAUAAGAUGCACCGAGGAGCUGUGUUGUCCUGGUGAGGCCCUUUUCUCCUUUGAAUGUUGUGGUCUUCUGUACUACGGAAAGUUUCUCACUAUGGAAGGACCCAGACACUUCAGUUCCAUUGAAGUCCUGCCUAUGGACCUGUCUGUUUCUUGAAACAGCAUCAGUGGGAGAGUUACUAUUUGUAUAACAAGUUUGUGCAUUUGGAACUCUGGUGAAGAUGCUUUAAACUUUUGAGUUAUUUGAUCUACUGCUUUUCUUUCUAUAAGGAUAUGGACGAUAUUUCCUUCCCACCUUUCAGACUUUGACUUCAAUAGGUAUUGCACAUACAAUACAGUUUGGAAACAUAGCCAUUUUAUACAUAAAUCAUUUUUGCAUGGAUAGACACUGAGGUUUCCCAGCACUAAAUUUACAAUUUGAGC